rnacentral:rRNA from 1 species
UUUAAUUGAAGAGUUUGAUCAUGGCUCAGAUUGAACGCUGGCGGCAGGCCUAACACAUGCAAGUCGAGCGGCAGCGACUUAACUGAACCUUCGGGGAACGUUAAGGGCGGCGAGCGG